AGCUGGUAAACGGGAACCAAAUC
rnacentral:miRNA from 18 species